GACGUAGGGGGCCAGCGUUGUUCGGAAUUACUGGGUGUAAAGGGUUCGUAGGCGGUGUGGCAAGUUGGGAGUGAAAUCUCUGGGCUCAACCCAGAGGCUGCUUCCAAAACUGCUGUGCUCGAGUGUGAGAGAGGCUCGUGGAAUUGCAGGUGUAGCGGUGAAAUGCGUAGAUAUCUGCAGGAACACCCGUGGCGAAAGCGGCGAGCUGGAUCACUACUGACGCUGAGGAACGAAAGCUAGGGGAGCAAACAGG
rnacentral:rRNA from 1 species